GCCUUCAUCCUCAUUUGAUUCAAAAUUGGAAUUUUUAUCGUUUUUGUUCAUAUCUUUAUUUUACAUAUGCUAAUGUGACUCGCAAACUUUACCAACAAAUGUUGCUUUCGAUGAGGAGGUGCUCCGUCACAAGCCAGCUACCACUGACUUUGGUGUAAUCCAAAGGACGUCCUUAUAUACAUCACCGCCUUGCAGAAACUCAGAGACUCAGCAAAACUAUUCACGUAACCAAUCACGUUCAUCCAGUCGAAUGCCAAUUGCAGAAAAGACCAGAUGAUCUUGAAUAAUGUGGCGUGGUAUGCGUUUGUUUUACUGGUUGCUAGAGAUUGUAUUAGGAGAAUUUAAACGAAGAAGUUAGUGCAAUCAACUGAUAAAAGUGAUAAAGCUGAUAAAGCCACAUUAUUCAAGAUCAUACUAUUCAAUGGUAAUUUAUAAUUUACAUUUGCGAGAUGGCAACGAAGGUCACAUCUCAAGGGCAUGUGUAGUGUAUCUCAACCACUUACGAAACAGAGAGCCUUUGUGGAGAUGCAAUAUCCAAACAUGCAAUCGAAGAAGGAUGGCCUCGCCAUAAGCGUCGUUGUAUACCUUCAAAAAAUGUGAUAACUGUGAUGAUUAUCUUGUAAAACCCUCGUGUUGGCAUGUAUCGUCUCAUAAAAGACCUUAUCGAGUAAGUUUUAAUUCGUUUGUAGUUGUCGUAAAAUGUUUUUUUCUAUGUAAUAUUACAUCGCUUACGUAUAUGUAUACAGAAGUGCUAACAUGUAAGCAGUAAAUUCAUACGUUUUUCUUAGAUUUCUUUCAGAACAAUGUGUAAUGGUUUGACCUUACGAAUCGAACGGGAAUAAAUAAAAAUAUAUAUUUACAAAAGCUUAA